UGCGUAGGCAGCUUGAUAAGUCAGAGGUGAAAGGCUACAGCUCAACUGUAGAAUUGCCUUUGAUACUGUCGAGCUUGAAUCAGGUUGAGGUUGGCGGAAUGUGGCAUGUAGCGGUGAAAUGCAUAGAUAUGCCAUAGAACACCAAUUGCGAAGGCAGCUGACUGGACCUGGAUUGACGCUGAGGAACGAAAGCGUGGGGAGCGAACAGGAUUAGAUACCCUGGUAGUCC
rnacentral:rRNA from 1 species